rnacentral:rRNA from 1 species
UACGAAGGGGGCUAGCGUUGCUCGGAAUCAUUGGGCGUAAAGGGUGCGUAGCGGCGCGGUAAGUCGGGUGUGAAAUCUCGGAGCUUAACUCCGAAACUGCAUUCGAUACUGCCGUGCUUGAGGACUGGAGAGGAGACUGGAAUUUACGGUGUAGCGGUGAAAUGCGUAGAUAUCGUAAGGAAGACCAGUGGCGAAGGCGGGUCUCUGGACAGUUCCUGACGCUGAGGCACGAAGGUCAGGGGAGCAAACGGG